rnacentral:tRNA from 1 species
AACAGAGAAGUAAUAUAAUACAUUUAGUUUCGACCUAAAAAUAGAGUCUAAACCCUCCAUGUUU